GCAUAUCAAUAAGCGGAGGAAAAGAAACCAACAGGGAUUGCCUCAGUAACGGCGAAGUGAAGCGGCAAAAGCUCAAAUUUGAAAUCUGGCUCUUUCAGGGUCCGAGUUGUAAUUUGUAGAAGAUGUUUCGGGUGUGGCUCCGGUUUAAGUUCUUUGGAAUAUUACAUCAUAGAGGGUGAGAAUCCCGUAUGUGACCGGCAGCUUUCGUCCAUGUGAAACUCUUUCGACGAGUCGAGUUGUUUGGGAAUGCAGCUCAAAAUGGGAGGUAUAUUUCUUCUAAAGCUAAAUAUUGGCCAGAGACCGAUAGCGCACAAGUAGAGUGAUCGAAAGAUGAAAAGCACUUUGGAAAGAGAGUUAAACAGUACGUGAAAUUGUUGAAAGGGAAGCGCUUGCAACCAGACUUGCACGCAGUUGAUCAUCCGGUGUUCUCACCGGGGCACUCUGCUGCGUUCAGGCCAGCAUCGGUUUCGGUGGUUGGAUAAAGGCCUUGGGAAUGUGGCUUCCUUCGGGGAGUGUUAUAGCCCUCGGUGCAAUGCAGCCUACCGGGACCGAGGACCGCGCUUCGGCUAGGAUGCUGGCGUAAUGGUUGUAAGCGACCCGUCUUGAAACACGGACCAAGGAGUCUAACAUCUAUGCGAGUGUUUGGGUGUCAAACCCAUACGCGUAAUGAAAGUGAACGGAGGUGAGAACCCUUAAGGGUGCAUCAUCGACCGGUCCUGAUGUCUUCGGAUGGAUCUGAGUAAGAGCAUAGCUGUUGGGACCCGAAAGAUGGUGAACUAUGCGUGAAUAGGGUGAAAGCCAGAGGAAACUCUGGUGGAGGCUCGCAGCGGUUCUGACGUGCAAAUCGAUCGUCAAAUUUGCGCAUAGGGGCGAAAGACUUAUCGAACCAUCUAGUAGCUGGUUCCUGCCGAA
rnacentral:rRNA from 1 species